rnacentral:rRNA from 1 species
ACUCCUACGGGAGGCAGCAGUAGGGAAUCUUCCACAAUGGACGAAAGUCUGAUGGAGCAACGCCGCGUGAGUGAAGAAGGGUUUCGGCUCGUAAAAACUCUGUUGUUAAAAGAAGAACAUAUCUGAGAGUAACUGUUCAGGUAUUGACGGUAUUUAACCAGAAAGCCACGGCUAACUACGUGCCAGCAGCCGCGGUAAUACGUAGGUGGCAAGCGUUGUCCGGAUUUAUUGGGGCGUAAAGCGAGCGCAGGCGGUUUUUAAGUCUGAUGUGAAAGCCUUCGGCUCAACCGAAGAAGUGCAUCGGAAACUGGGAAACUUGAGUGCAGAAGAGGACAGUGGAACUCCAUGUGUAGCGGUGAAAUGCGUAGAUAUAUGGAAGAACACCAGUGGCGAAGGCGGCUGUCUGGUCUGUAACUGACGCUGAGGCUCGAAAGUAUGGGUAGCAAACAGGAUUAGAUACCCUGGUAGGAUAGCG